rnacentral:snRNA from 1 species
GGAUGUAAGGGCAAUUUGGCUGUAACAUCAUACACUCCAUUGAUCGUGAAGUUGGUUUGGCUGAUCUGGCUUCCUCCCUCAUGGAUCCACAAAUUUGUCUAGAAGCCACAGGCCAGCAGUAGACCUUCCCUGAUGGAGUCCUGCUGUUCCUUUGAGGGUAAUAGAGUGGCUGUGCUUCCCUGAUCAGCCUCCAAACAGGCUCGCCAGAGGAUUUUAUAGAUGGAACUGCACCAUGGGUAACUUUUGGAGUCUGUUUUGGUAGAGCACAGAACUCU